rnacentral:rRNA from 1 species
GAUUAAGUUAUUAAGGGCGCACGGUGGAUGCCUUGGCACUAGAAGCCGAUGAAGGACGUUACUAACGACGAUAUGCUUUGGGGAGCUGUAAGUAAGCUUUGAUCCAGAGAUUUCCGAAUGGGGAAACCCAGCAUGAGUUAUGUCAUGUUAUCGAUAUGUGAAUACAUAGCAUAUCAGAAGGCACACCCGGAGAACUGAAACAUCUUAGUACCCGGAGGAAGAGAAAGAAAAUUCGAUUCCCUUAGUAGCGGCGAGCGAAACGGGAAGAGCCCAAACCAACAAGCUUGCUUGUUGGGGUUGUAGGACACUCUAUACGGAGUUACAAAGGACGACAUUAGACG